CAACGACCUAAUCUCGAUAAUGUUGUCAUCCUAGUAACAACAUAUCAUUUGGUCGCGAAUAAGUUUAAGGACUCAAAGAUAAAUCCUCCUUUAUCAUAACAUAAGUCCUAAGGACUUCAUCAUAUAAGAGUUCAUUUGAAGAUGAAAUGAUGAAUAAUGCCAAAUAAUACUUUAUUAAUUUGUCAAUUCAUUUACAAAAUUCAAUCAUCAAUAUGCUGACGAUUGACAUUUAGGAUACAAUUCCCAACAACUUUCACUUAGCCUAAAGCCAAUCGGCACAGUAUCUAAUACCCAUCUUCGACUUGUGUUCGUUGAACUCUU
rnacentral:lncRNA from 1 species